GAUGAACGCUGGCUGUGUGCCUAAUACAUGCAUGUCGAGCGGAAGUAGCAAUACUUUAGCGGCGAAUGGGUGAGUAACACGUGCUUAAUCUACCUUUUAGAUUGGAAUACCUAAUGGAAACAUUGGUUAAUGCCGGAUACGCAUGAAAUCGCAUGAUUUCGUUGUGAAAGGAGCGUUUACUCCACUAAAAGAUGAGGGUGCGGAACAUUAGCUAGUUGGUGAGGUAAUGGCCCACCAAGGCUAUGAUGUUUAGCCGGGUCGAGAGACUGAACGGCCACAUUGGGACUGAGAUACGGCCCAAACUCCUACGGGAGGCAGCAGUAGGGAAUAUUCCACAAUGAGCGAAAGCUUGAUGGAGCGACACAGCGUGCACGAUGAAGGCCCUCGGGUUGUAAAGUGCUGUUGCAAGGGAAGAACACUUAGUUGAGGAAAUGCAACUAAGCUGACGGUACCUUGUUAGAAAGCGAU
rnacentral:rRNA from 2 species